UGAGGGGCUAAGAAGUAUUCCAAAUAGGUUUAAGAAUUCCGGCGAACGGUCUGGACGAUCCACAAUCUUCGCCAAUACUGGAACUUACUGGUGUUCGGCGCCAUCCCCCAGGUGCCUCACCAGGCAAGGUGUCGUUGACCGCGCACCUUGAUUUACUCCUAAUGGUCUUGACCCGGACUCACCCCCAGAGCCCGG
rnacentral:sRNA from 1 species